UACAGAGGGGGCAAGCGUUAUUCGGAAUUAUCGGGCGUAAAGGGCGCGUAGGCGGCCUGGCAAGUGGAAGGUGAAAUCCCUCGGCUUAACCGAGGAACUGCCUUCCAAACUGCUUGGCUUGAGUCCGGGAGAGGUGAGUGGAAUUCCCAGUGUAGCGGUGAAAUGCGUAGAUAUUGGGAGGAACGCCAGUGGCGAAGGCGGCUCACUGGACCGGAACUGACGCUGAUGCGCGAAAGCGUGGGGAGCAAACGGG
rnacentral:rRNA from 1 species